rnacentral:rRNA from 1 species
GAGUUUGAUCAUGGCUCAGAACGAACGCUGGCGGCAUGCCUAACACAUGCAAGUCGAACGGGAUCCGGACUUCGGUCCGGUGAGAGUGGCGGACGGGUGAGUAACGCGUGGGAACCUGCCCAAUGGUCUGGGAUAACCGCGGGAAACUGCGGCUAAUACCGGAUAAGCUCGAGAGGGGAAAGAUUUAUCGCCGAUGGAGGGGCCCGCGUCCGAUUAGGUAGUUGGUGAGGUAACGGCUCACCAAGCCGACGAUCGGUAGCUGGUCUGAGAGGAUGAUCAGCCACACUGGGACUGAGAUACGGCCCAGACUCCUACGGGAGGCAGCAGUGGGGAAUAUUGGACAAUGGGGGCAACCCUGAUCCAGCAAUGCCGCGUGAGUGAUGAAGGCCUUAGGGUUGUAAAGCUCUUUUGGCGGGGACGAUGAUGACGGUACCCGCAGAAUAAGCCCCGGCUAACUUCGUGCCAGCAGCCGCCGU